AUUGAACGCUGGCGGCAUGCUUUACACAUGCAAGUCGAACGGUAACAGGCCGCAAGGUGCUGACGAGUGGCGAACGGGUGAGUAAUGCAUCGGAACGUGCCCAGUCGUGGGGGAUAACGCAGCGAAAGCUGCGCUAAUACCGCAUACGAUCUAUGGAUGAAAGCGGGGGACCGUAAGGCCUCGCGCGAUUGGAGCGGCCGAUGUCAGAUUAGGUAGUGGGUGGGGUAAAGGCUCACCAAGCCAACGAUCUGUAGCUGGUCUGAGAGGACGACCAGCACACUGGGACUGAGACACGGCCCAGACUCCUACGGGAGGCAGCAGUGGGGAAUUUUGGACAAUGGGCGCAAGCCUGAUCCAGCAAUGCCGCGUGCAGGAAGAAGGCCUUCGGGUUGUAAACUGCUUUUGUACGGAACGAAACGGCUCUCACUAAUACUGGGGGCUAAUGACGGUACCGUAAGAAUAAGCACCGGCUAACUACGUGCCAGCCGCCGCCGUAAAAC
rnacentral:rRNA from 1 species